rnacentral:lncRNA from 1 species
UNAAUAGAGUAUUUAAUGCACAAUUAAAUGCAAUUCAAUCUAUGGGAUAAGUAAUAUUAAUCAAGAAAAGACUUACAGAAAGAGUAGAUUGAGAGGUCUGUUGAUGAAAAGGAGUGGGUUGUAAGUGUUCCAGCAGAAUUCUCUGUCUGUUAAUGGCUUUCUCCAUUUUUCUCUCUGUAUCUCUAUCUCUAAAUUUCAACACAAUUAUGGGUUUCAGGUUUUUAUGUAAACUACAACUAGGAUGAACAUAUAAAGGGAAGAUGAGGAAAUUUAUGGUGAAUGAACACGAAAAAUCCUAGUGUGAAAACGUGGUCUUUGUACAGUAUUAUAAUUAUUUGCCUUGAAAGUUGAAGGAAC